UACAAAGGGGGCUAGCGUUGUUCGGAAUCACUGGGCGUAAAGCGCACGUAGGCGGCUUCUUAAGUCAGGGGUGAAAUCCUGGAGCUCAACUCCAGAACUGCCUUUGAUACUGAGAAGCUCGAGUCCGGGAGAGGUGAGUGGAACUGCGAGUGUAGAGGUGAAAUUCGUAGAUAUUCGCAAGAACACCAGUGGCGAAGGCGGCUCACUGGCCCGGUACUGACGCUGAGGUGCGAAAGCGUGGGGAGCAAACAGG
rnacentral:rRNA from 1 species